GCAAGGAGAAAACAGGUCAGAAGUAUGUUAUUGGGGGCUUAGCACCGAUUUUGGUUCUGACAAGCUGGCCACUCAGAGACAGCAGUAGCUAUGUCUGUCUCAGUAUGUGGUAGACCAUGCUGUUGGGCCCAUAUAUAUAUAUAGCCUCCAUGUCUGCCACUGGGGCUACUUCAUUCACGUACCCACUGUGUUAGUUCUGGGAUGACUAAAAUCAACUGGGUCAUCAUGAGUGAAGUCUUGAGCCACUGAGCCACUACCACCUUGUGCCAAAUACUAUCUGUGCCCUGCCUGCCAACCAGGAUGACAACCCUUCACCUGCCAGGUGAGUCUUUCCUAGAAGUUACAUAAAACUCUGAAAUUGGAUCAGGCCAGUUGGGGAGUAUUAUGAUAGGCGCUAGAAUAGUGAAAUUCGACCAAAGUUUGGAAAAGAAAGGACUGAAGAGAAGCGGUCAUCUUCUUUCUCCCUUCUCCCUUCCUGUGGUUGAUUGCAAAAAUGGCUGCAAUACUUUGCAGCUCCUUCCAGCAAGAAGUGGAGUCUAUUUCCCCACCCCCAAGAUCAGUUGAUUCAAGCAAUAGGGAAACAAGUUAAAUGACACCAGGUGAAAGCAACCAGACAAACCCAGAAGGUGGACCAAUCUGUAGGACAACUGGACUGGUCUUUUUAAAAAGACACUAACAUAAAAGGCAGACUGUGCUAGCCUUUCAAGUAUAUGUCAGAAUACCCUAAGAGCCUUUGAGAGCCUGUGUUCCAGGUCAGGAGUCAGAGAUGGAGGUUACAGAGACAUGGAAGAACUCAGGAAGAUUAAUAAACUUUGAUAACUUUUUUGGUAUUAUAAAUAAAAACAUUUUACAAUUAA